GACGAACUGUCCUAACGUUGUUCGGAAUCACUGGGCUUAAAGGGCGCGUAGGCGGUCCGCUAAGUCAGGGGUGAAAUCCUGCAGCUUAACUGUAGAAGUGCCUCUGAUACUGGCGGUCUUGAGGGAAAUAGGGGUGUGCGGAACUUCCAGUGGAGCGGUGAAAUGCGUUGAUAUUGGAAGGAACGCCGGAGGCGAAAGCGGCGCACUGGAUUUCUUCUGACGCUGAGGCGCGAAAGCUAGGGGAGCAAACGGG
rnacentral:rRNA from 1 species